CUCCUCUUCUGGUCGCAGGCAUUUGGAGAUUGCCAGGAAUCUAGCAUCCGAGCCUUCUUCUUGUGGCGUUGCCCUAGAUCGACGCCCAACGCGAGAGGUAUAUUUCCGUGCCCUAGCUUCUGUCCACUCUCCGACACCACUAGUGAGAUGCUCCAACACCUGCAUCUUCGCCGGGUGUUGUGGUCGCCGGAGAAGGAUCGACGCUAGAACUACCUCCUCAUGAUCUGAUUUGUAAGUGCUAGGUAGGUGGUUUUCAGCAAGUAUGAUCCAUUUAGUAGCCUUAUGAACCUGUUGAAUACCGACAAACAAGUGAUGAUUUUAGGUAUUUGGUUUUGGAAGACAACAACUAUUUUCGAGUGAGUCAACAACAAAGUCGACUGGAUUUGGGAAAAGAGUGGGCAACAGUAGAUCAUCUUUCGAUGGUGAAACCCUUUCAGUCGUGAGCCAUCAUUAGCUACGACAAAUUUGGACUUUGAUCCGAGACGAUGUCUCGACGAGGGAUCUAUUGCGGAUACGAUCCUUUCUAUUGGAGGCGGGU